rnacentral:piRNA from 1 species
UAAUAAGUUUCUGCAGACAAUGGGGCAGC